rnacentral:lncRNA from 1 species
GAUGGACCCUAAGGGUGCAUAGAAUGAAUUCAAAGCUUCAAAAUAGAAAACUAACCGGUCGAAGAUCAAAGAACGAUGAAGAACGAACGAAAAACGAUGAAGAACGAACGAAAAACGAUGAAGAACGAUCAUGGAAUUGAUCACGGACAUGUUACAAAAGCGUUACGGAAGCGCCUCGGCCUUGAUUUUUCUUUUUCUUUCUCCUUCUUUUCAC